rnacentral:rRNA from 1 species
UACGUAGGGUGCAAGCGUUGUCCGGAAUUAUUGGGCGUAAAGAGCUCGUAGGCGGUGUGUCGCGUCGGCCGUGAAAACCUGGGGCUUAACCCCCGGGCCUGCUUUCGAUACGGGCAGACUAGAGUUCGGCAGGGGAGACUGGAAUUCCUGGUGUAGCGGUGAAAUGCGCAGAUAUCAGGAGGAACACCGGUGGCGAAGGCGGGUCUCUGGGCCGAUACUGACGCUGAGGAGCGAAAGCGUGGGGAGCGAACAGG